UACGGAGGGUGCAAGCGUUAUCCGGAUUCACUGGGUUUAAAGGGUGCGUAGGUGGGCAAGUAAGUCAGUGGUGAAAUCUCCGGGCUUAACCCGGAAACUGCCAUUGAUACUAUUUGUCUUGAAUACUGUGGAGGUCAGCGGAAUAUGUCAUGUAGCGGUGAAAUGCUUAGAUAUCGGGAGGAACACCAGUGGCGCAGGCGGCGUCCUGGACCGGCACUGACGCUGAGGAGCGAAAGCGUGGGGAGCGAUCCGG
rnacentral:rRNA from 1 species